rfam:Drosophila melanogaster chromosome 3R.
UUUGUUUUAGUACGUAGGCAUAAUUCCAAUAGGGCUUAUGAAACGUGCAUGCCACCUACGGACGGUGGUAUCUUUAGAAUAUUUUAAUU